GUCUGACUCCCUGCUCCUGGCUGUGAGAUGCACCUCUCCCUCUGUUUAUUCAUCUAAAGGAUAGGGCUGUGCUGUUCUGGAGUUGCUGUGACAACUGAAAUGGCCUGUAUGAGUUGGUGGUGGCCUCCUGAGAUGGCUUGAGAAGUACAGAGGAACCUGGUGCCAGCCACAGUCAAGCCCGAUGUGAUGAUCUUUCUACCCACCCUCUUUGAUGUCUUGAUUCUGGCUGAUGUCCUUGGCCAGCCCUGCAAGUCCAGUCCUUGGGGGUCUAGGAGGGAAGAAGCCCCUGGCUGUGUGGCCUCGGGCUGGACCCUGGCCCUCUCUGGUUCUGAGUUCCUGGGAAAGUCGGUGGUAUUGGAACUCCGGAUUCAUUCCUCAGCAUUGAGGCACUGUCUGUGGAAGCCGUGGGACAAGGUGAAGGCGGGGAGAGGAGAGGCUUGGAGUUUGGGUUUCAGGAGAGGGAUCAGCAGCGUGAGGGGUCACCUGUGUGUAGAGGAAAGGGAGUGAAGGCCAGGAGUGAGGAAUGAGUCUGAGUGCACCCAGGAUGGUGCUGCGUCUCCUCCCACAUCCACCUGGCCCUGGUCGAGGGAGAAGAAAGGCCACAAGACAAAGGGGAAACUGAGUUGGGUCUACACAUGUCCUUCCAGGACCUCGAGGUGCCACUGUCUGGCCAUCAUGCAGUGGGAAGUUGGAGAAGGAAGAUUCCCUCCCCACACCUCCUGUUCUCUGUCCCAGGUCUCCUGGCCCCCUGUGCACCUAAGUUCAGUCUCUGUCGGCCCCCAGCAUCAUUUCUAGGGUUGGUGGGAGGCAGCUGGGAACAGGCUAGGGGUAGGUGGAGCCUACUUGGGGGGUCUGCUUGACUGCCUGGGCCACUGCCCACGGUAGUGGGGAGCUUUUCUGGCACACUGGCUGCACAACCCAGGGCUGCCAACAACAGCCCCCAGGGAGUGUUUGCAGAAGACCUUGGCAGUGGGGGUGGUGGACACCACCAAGAACAAACACCUGGGGUGGGGUUAGGGAGAACAGCCCUCCACUUACCUGUCUGGAGUGUCCUCUGUACCGCACCGUGCGAGUCUACACUCCCAGGCUGAACACCCUGAGGGAGGCCCUCCACUUUGGCACCUUGACGAGAAGGGCAGGGACACUGGGAUCUGGCCCAGCCCCCUGCCCCCAAAUCCUGCAACCCCAGCUGGGGGCUGAGGAGAUGCUGUGCUUGGGUGGGGGAAACAGGGGUGUAAAGGGGCCUGCUCACCCCUCAGCUUGGCUCAAAGGCUCAAGGCGUCAAAGGCUCAGCCUGCCCCUCAAGAAGGAGCCCGAGCCCAGCCAGACACUCAUCAGGACAAGAGUGAAUGUGAUGAGCAGAAGGCCUAGAAUGAAGAGAGCCAUGGCAUAGCUGGGGAUGGAGGUGUCCAGGGGGCUGGAGGCUUUGGGGCUAGGAGUGCCUAGAGCAGAGCAAGAAAGCUAUGGCCAGGCGGGGCCCUGGCUCCCAUACUUCUGAGAGGGCAGAAUCUGGCCCCAGAAAUUUAUAUGUCAUGGACCAACCUCAAAAACAUUAGCUAAGUAAAAAAAGCCAGACAUGAGACCACAUAUUGUAUAAUUCCAUUGAUUUGAAAUAUCCAAAAAAGGCAAACUGAUAGAGACUGAAAUGGGCUGAUUUACCUCAAGAGGCAGUGACUCAAGCUCUCUAGACUACAGGUAAUAUAUCCAUG
rnacentral:lncRNA from 10 species